rnacentral:lncRNA from 1 species
AUGAUUGGUGAGUUUGAAGGCAAAAAUGCUUAAGGGAGCCAAGUUUCUGCCCUUUUGCAGAAACCAGGUUCGGCAGCCGAAGGGAGUUUCGGCCGCCGAACAUGGCUUGAGAGGCAGCUUUAGGCUGCCGAAGCUUGCCCCCGAAAGUUGGAGUUUCGGCUCUGUCCGAGACUUUCGGCCGCCGAAGGUGCCGCCGAACAUGCAUGAGUUUCGCCUCUGUCUGGGAGUUUCGGCCGCCGAAGGUGCCGCCGAACCUGCCUGACUUUCGGCUCUGGAGGGACUUCCGGCCGCCGAAGGUGCCGCCGAAAGUGCCCUGUCCAGCCUUUUCUUGCAUGAUUCCUAGGAGUGUUUUGAGGUGUUUUUAGGAGGUUUUUGGGGGUAUGUUUAGAGUUAUGUUCUUGUUGUUUGGUGCCUCAUUUGAGUCCACCUGUGUAGGUUCGGAUCCGAGGAACCGAGACCCCCGGUUGUGAGAUAGUCGUUCAGAGUUCGUUGUUAAGCUUCAGUCACCAGGUGAGUGGAACAACCCCUUAAGUUUUAAAGUAAAGUAAAUGAAUAAAUGAAUGAAUCAUAAAGCAUUGCCCAUGCAUCAUUAUGCCAUGCAAUAUUUCAGGAUGUUUGCAUUAGA